rnacentral:miRNA from 7 species
AGUCUAUGGGGCCAGAUGGCAUGCAUCUCAGGGUUCUGAAGGAGCUGGCUGAGGUGGUUACCGAGCCACUCUCUUUCAUAUUUGAAAAG